CCUACGGGAGGCAGCAGUGAGGAAUAUUGGUCAAUGGACGCAAGUCUGAACCAGCCAUGCCGCGUGCAGGAAGACGGCUCUAUGAGUGUUAAACUGCUUUUGUAGGAGGGUAAACGCAGAUACGCGUAUCUGUCUGAAAGUAUCGUACGAGUAAGGAUCGGCUAACUCCGUGCCAGCAGCCGCGGCAAUACGGAGGAUUCAAGCGUUGUCCGGAUUUAUUGGGUUUAAAGGGUGCGUAGGCGGUCGGAUAAGUUAGAGGUGAAAUCCCGAGGCUCAACUUCGGAAUUGCCGCUGAUACUGUUCGGCUAGAGAGUAGUUGCGGUAGGCAGAAUGUAUGGUGUAGCGGUGAAAUGCGUAGAGAUCAGACAGAACACCGAUUGCGAAGGCAGCUUACCGAGCUACUUCUGACGUUGAGGCGCGAAAGCGUGGGGAGCAAACAGGAUUAGAUACCCUUGUAGUC
rnacentral:rRNA from 1 species